CCACUUCCGGUUCCCGCGGUCACGUGACCGUCAUUCCAUGUGACCGCGAGGCGCUGCGGCGCGAUGGCGGCGGGGCUGGUGCGGGUGCUGUUGUUCCUCGGGCUCUCGGUCCGCGGGCCCGCGCCGGCAGGUGCCGCGAAGAUGAAGGUGGUGGAGGAGCCCAACACGUUCGGGGUGAACAACCCGUUCUUGCCCCAGGCUAGUCGCCUCCAGGCCAAGAGGGAUCCUUCACCCGUGUCUGGGCCGGCGCAUCUCUUCCGACUCUCGGGCAAGUGCUUCAGCCUGGUGGAGUCCACGUACAAGUACGAGUUCUGCCCAUUCCACAACGUGACCCAGCACGAGCAGACCUUCCGCUGGAACGCCUACAGCGGGGUCCUCGGCAUCUGGCACGAGUGGGAGAUCGCCAACAACACCUUCAUGGGCAUGUGGAUGAGGGAUGGUGAUGCCUGUCGUUCCCGGAGUCGGCAGAGCAAGGUGGAGCUGGCGUGUGGAAAAAGCAACCGGCUGGCCCACGUGUCCGAGCCGAGCACCUGUGUCUAUGCGCUGACGUUUGAGACCCCCCUCGUCUGCCACCCCCACGCCUUGCUAGUGUACCCAACCCUGCCAGAGGCCCUGCAGCGGCGGUGGGACCAGGUGGAGCAGGACCUGGCCGACAAGCUGAUCACCGCCCAGGGCCAUGAGAAGUUGCUGCGGACACUUUUUGAGGAUGCUGGCUACUUAAAGGCCCCAAAAGAAAAUGAACCCACCCAGCUGGAGGGAGGUCCUGACAGCUUGGGGUUUGAGACCCUGGAAAGCUGCAGAAAGGUACCGUACUGGGGGAGGUGGCAGCACACAGUGGCCUCCUGCCCUGCCCCGGCCUUUCCCUUGACCUUCGUGUUGCAGGCGCGCAGAGAACUGUCGGAGGAGAUCAGAAGGCUGAAAGGUUUGCUCAGCCAGCACGGCAUCCCCUACAUGAGGCCCACAGAAACUUCCAGCUUGGAGCACUUGGGCCACAAGACACCCAGAGCCAAGCCUGCAGAGCAGCUGCGGGGGGACCCAGGACUGCGUGGGAGUUUGUGACCCCAUGGUGGGAAGGCAGAGGUGGCCACGGCCGAGCACCCUACAGACGGGCUGGUGAUCCACCCGCCUCAGCCUCCCAAAGUGCUGGGAUCACAGGCGUGAGCCACCGGGCCCAGCCAGAAGACAGCUGCUUAAAAAGGCACAGACGCAUAGGAAAAGUGGCCACGGAUCACAGAAACGCAGGACGGAGCUCUCCUGCUCCCACGUCACGAGGCUGGAAUAUCAACCCCAGUGCCUUGUGCGCACACAGGCUCGGGAAAACUAGCUCCUUCCAUCAAGUUAAAAACAUCUAAAUCCAUAAUCACUCUGCUUAUAAAUACUAUCUGCACUUAAUGGGAAAAUGUAAAAAUCCUAGGUCUUACUACUAGAUAAACGCUCAUUUCAUAAGUACUAGUUUCAGAAUAUGAAAUCUAAUAUAUUC